rnacentral:rRNA from 1 species
GCGAAAGGGGCUUCGGUCCUGAGUAGAGUGGCGCACGGGUGAGUAACGCGUAGAUAACCUGUCCUGGUGUCUGGAAUAACGUCUCGAAAGGGGCACUAAUACCGGAUAUUCUUGCUUUCUUCAAGGUAUGCAAGGAAAGGUGGCCUCUGGAACAAGCUACUGCACGAGGAGGGGUCUGCGUACCAUUAGCUAGUAGGUGGGGUAAUGGCCUACCUAGGCGACGAUGGUUAGCGGGUCUGAGAGGAUGAUCCCGCCACACUGGCACUGGAAUACGGGCCAGACUCCUACGGGAGGCAGCAGUGAGGAAUAUUGCGCAAUGGGGGCAACCCUGACGCAGCGACGCCGCGUGAGUGAGGAAGGCCUUCGGGUCGUAAAGCUCUGUCAAGAGGGAAGAAGUGCAUGGUGGUUAAUAUCUGUCAUGUUUGACGGUACCUCUAAAGGAAGCACCGGCUAACUCCGUGCCAGCAGCCGCGGUAAUACGGGAGGGUGCAAGCGUUUGUUCGGAAAUCACUGGGCGUAAAGGGCGCGCAGGGCGGCCUGAUUAGUCAAAUGGUGAAAGGCCCAACGGCUUAACUGUGGAAGUGCAUUUUGAAACUUGUUCAGGCUUUGAGUACCAGAAGGGGAAAGUGGAAUUCCCGGUGUAGAGGUGAAAUUCGUAGAUAUCGGGAGGAGUACCGGUGGCGAAGGCGACUUUCUGGCUGGAUACUGACGCUGAGGCGCGAAAGCGUGGGGAGCAAACAGGAUUAGAUACCCUGGUAGUCCACGCUGUAAACGAUGUGCAGUAGAUGUAGGGGGUGUUGAUCCCCUCUGUGUCGCAGCUAACGCA